rnacentral:rRNA from 1 species
GACGAACGCUGGCGGCGUGCUUAACACAUGCAAGUCGAACGGAAAGGCCCUGCUUUUGUGGGGUGCUCGAGUGGCGAACGGGUGAGUAACACGUGAGUAACCUGCCCUUGACUUUGGGAUAACUUCAGGAAACUGGGGCUAAUACCGGAUAGGAGCUCCUGCUGCAUGGUGGGGGUUGGAAAGUUUCGGCGGUUGGGGAUGGACUCGCGGCUUAUCAGCUUGUUGGUGGGGUAGUGGCUUACCAAGGCUUUGACGGGUAGCCGGCCUGAGAGGGUGACCGGCCACAUGGGGACUGAGAUACGGCCCAGACUCCUACGGGAGGCAGCAGUGGGGAAUAUUGCACAAUGGGCGGAAGCCUGAUGCAGCAACGCCGCGUGUGGGAUGACGGCCUUCGGGGUGUAAACCGCUUUCGCCUGUGACGAAGCGGGAGUGACGGUAAUGGGUAAAGAAGCACCGGCUAACUACGUG